rnacentral:rRNA from 1 species
GAACGCUGGCGGCGUGCUUAACACAUUCAAGUCGAACGGAAAGGCCCCUUUGGGGGUACUCGAGUGGCGAACGGGUGAGUAACACGUGAGUAACCUGCCCUUGACUUCGGGAUAACUUCAGGAAACUGGGGCUAAUACCGGAUAGGAAUCCUUGCUGCAUGGUGGGGGUUGGAAAGCUUCGGCGGUUUUGGAUGGACUCGCGGCUUAUCAGCUUGUUGGUGGGGUAGUGGCUUACCAAGGCUUUGACGGGUAGCCGGCCUGAGAGGGCGACCGGCCACAUUGGGACUGAGAUACGGCCCAGACUCCUACGGGAGGCAGCAGUGGGGAAUAUUGCACAAUGGGCGGAAGCCUGAUGCAGCAACGCCGCGUGCGGGAUGACGGCCUUCGGGUUGUAAACCGCUUUCAGCAGGGGCGAAGCUUGUGGUGACGGUACCUGCAGAAGAAGCACCGGCUAACUACGUG